rnacentral:rRNA from 1 species
UUUCACUGAAACAAGGGGAAACCCUUGGCAGCAGUAAUGAAUUUUAUGUAAUAUACGAAAGUAAGACAUAGGUAGAAUAAAAAAAAUCUGUCAAAUUAAGUGCCAGCAGACGCGGUAACACUUAAGGAUUUAUUUUUUAAUAAAAAGCAAAAAGCGUGUUAAGGAUUUUUAAAAAAAAAAAUAAAUAGAAUUUUUAUUUCGUAAUUGUGGAAUGUUAAAAUGAAAAAAAGAAUUUUUUAUAUGAAAAUAAUUUAUUUUUUUUUUCUUAAACACGAAGGUUUUGGGAGCAAACAGGAUUAGAGACCCUGGUAGUCUAUACAGUAAAAGAAUAUCGCUUGAGUAGUACGGUCGCAAGAUUAAAAUUCAAAAAACUUGGCUGUUCAUUGUUAAUUAGAGGAGCGUGUCGCUUAAUUCGAUGAUCCGCGAGAGACCUUACCGAAGUUUGAACUUAUAAACAGGUGUUGCAUGGCCGUCGUCAAUUUCUGUUUGAGACAAAAAGCGGUUUAAUCCUAUCAAGGUCGAAGUCAGGUAUUAUGACCCUUAUAUUUCGGGGUUAGAUGCGCUACAUUUCUCUCCUAGAAAAAGAGGGGUUCGGAUUGUUUUUAAAAUAAGACGAUGAAGUUGGAUUUAAAAGUAAUUGAAAAGUAGUGCGUUUCAAUGAAUUUUAUGGCAAUGUUAGUACAAAUCGCCCGUCGCCAGCCGAGAAAUGGGCUGUAAGUCGUAACA